UACGAAGGGGGCUAGCGUUGCUCGGAAUGACUGGGCGUAAAGGGCGCGUAGGCGGCUUGCACAGUCAGGCGUGAAAUUCCUGGGCUCAACCUGGGGACUGCGCUUGAGACGUGUGGGCUUGAGUGGGGAAGAGGGUCGUGGAAUUCCCAGUGUAGAGGUGAAAUUCGUAGAUAUUGGGAAGAACACCAGUGGCGAAGGCGGCUACCUGGCUUGGUACUGACGCUCAGGUGCGAAAGCGUGGGGAGCGAACAGG
rnacentral:rRNA from 1 species